rnacentral:rRNA from 1 species
AGCAGCCGCGGUAAUUCCAGCUCCAAUAGCGUAUAUUAAAGUUGUUGCAGUUAAAAAGCUCGUAGUUGAACUUCGGAAUUUGCCCAUUGGUCAGGCUUAACUGUCUGAACUGGUGUGACGAGUUCCUACCUUCUGAGGAAUCUUCAUGCCAUUCAUUUGGUGUGGGGGGAAAUCAGGACUGUUACUUUGAAAAAAUUAGAGUGUUUAAAGCAGGCAUCCGUCUGAAUACAUUAGCAUGGAAUAAUAAAAUAGGACGGUUUGGUUCUAUUUUGUUGGUUUCUAGGAUCACCGUAAUGAUUAAUAGGGAUAGUUGGGGGCAUUAGUAUUCAAUUGUCAGAGGUGAAAUUCUUGGAUUUAUUGAAGACUAACUACUGCGAAAGCAUUUGCCAAGGAUGUUUUCAUUAAUCAAGAACGAAAGUUAGGGGAUCGAAGACGAUCAGAUACCGUCGUAGUCUUAACCAUAAACUAUGCCGACUAGGGAUCGGACGAAGUUAAUUUUUAAAUGACUCGUUCGGCACCU